UACGAAGGGGGCUAGCGUUGCUCGGAAUCACUGGGCGUAAAGGGUGCGUAGGCGGGUUCUUAAGUUAGAGGUGAAAGCCUGGAGCUCAACUCCAGAACUGCCUUUAAUACUGGGAAUCUUGAGUUCGGAAGAGGUGAGUGGAACUGCGAGUGUAGAGGUGAAAUUCGUAGAUAUUCGCAAGAACACCAGUGGCGAAGGCGGCUCACUGGCCCGAUACUGACGCUGAGGCACGAAAGCGUGGGGAGCAAACAGGG
rnacentral:rRNA from 1 species